CGUAGGCGGGAUAUUAAGUUAGGUGUGAAAACUCUGGGCUCAACUCAGAGACUGCACUUAAAACUGGUAUUCUUGAGGACAGGAGAGGAAAGUGGAAUUCCUAGUGUAGCGGUGAAAUGCGUAGAUAUUAGGAGGAACACCAGUGGCGAAGGCGACUUUCUGGACUGUAACUGACGCUGAGGCGCGAAAGCGUGGGGAGUGACG
rnacentral:rRNA from 1 species